rnacentral:rRNA from 1 species
GCGAGUUGAGAGGGGUAAGCCCUCGGCAUAUUGCUCAGUAACACGCGGAUAACCUGCCCUUGGGUUCGGGAUAACCCCGGGAAACUGGGACUAAUACCGGAUAGAUCAAAGAAACUGGAAUGUUCUCUGGCCAAAAACUCUGGUGCCCAAGGAUGGGUCUGCGGCCUAUCAGGUAGUAGUGGGUGUAACGUACCUACUAGCCUACGACGGGUAAGGGUUGUGAGAGCAAGAGCCCUGAGAUGGAUUCUGAGACAUGAAUCCAGGCCCUACGGGGUGCAGCAGGCGCGAAAACUUUACACUGCGGGAAACCGCGAUAAGGGGACCCCGAGUGCCAGCACCUAGUGCUGGCUGUCCAGCUGCCCAAAUAACAGUUGUUAGCAAGGGCCGGGCAAGACCGGUGCCAGCCGCCGCGGUAACACCGGCGGCCCGAGUGGUAGCCGUUAUUAUUGGGUUUAAAGGGUCCGUAGCCGGCCUAUUAAGUCUCUUGGUAAAUCUGGCGACUCAAUCGUCAGGCGUCCAAGAGAUACUGGUAGGCUUGGGACCGGGAGAGGUGGGAGGUACUCCAGGGGUAGCGGUGAAAUCCUAUAAUCCCGGGAAGACCACCAGUGGCGAAGGCUGUCUGCUAGAACGCGCCCGACGGUGAGGGAUGAAAGCUGGGGGAGCGAACCGGAUUAGAUACCCGGGUAGUCCCAGCUGUAAACGAUGCAGGCUAGGUGUUUGGACGGCCACGU